GGCCGUCCGAGUUGUAAACUAGAGAAGUGUUACCCGCGUUGGACCGUGUACAAGUCCCCUGGAAUGGGGCGUCACAGAGGGUGAGAAUCCCGUCUUUGACACGGACUACCAGGGCUUUGUGGUACACUCUCAAAGAGUCGAGUUGUUUGGGAAUGCAGCUCAAAAUGGGUGGUAAAUUCCAUCUAAAGCUAAAUAUUGGCGAGAGACCGAUAGCGAACAAGUACCGUGAGGGAAAGAUGAAAAGAACUUUGGAAAGAGAGUUAAACAGUACGUGAAAUUGCUGAAAGGGAAACGCUUGAAGUCAGUCGCGUUGGCCGGGGAUCAGCCUUGCUUUUGCUUGGUGUACUUUCUGGUUGACGGGUCAGCAUCAAUUUUGACUGCUGGAAAAAGGCUUGGGGAAUGUGGCAGCUCCGGCUGUGUUAUAGCCUCUUGUCAUAUACAGCAGUUGGGAUUGAGGAACUCAGCACGCCGCAAGGCCGGGU
rnacentral:rRNA from 1 species